rnacentral:rRNA from 1 species
GACGAACGCUGGCGGCGUGCUUAACACAUGCAAGUCGAACGGAAAGGCCCUGCUUUUGUGGGGUGCUCGAGUGGCGAACGGGUGAGUAACACGUGAGUAACCUGCCCUUGACUUUGGGAUAACUUCAGGAAACUGGGGCUAAUACCGGAUAGGAGCUCCUGCUGCAUGGUGGGGGUUGGAAAGUUUCGGCGGUUGGGGAUGGACUCGCGGCUUAUCAGCUUGUUGGUGGGGUAGUGGCUUACCAAGGCUUUGACGGGUAGCCGGCCUGAGAGGGUGACCGGCCACAUUGGGACUGAGAUACGGCCCAGACUCCAACGGGAGGCAGCAGUGGGGAAUAUUGCACAGUGGGCGGGAGCCUGAUGCAGCAACGCCGCGUGCGGGAUGACGGCCUUCGGGUUGUGAACCGCUUUCGCCUGUGACGAAGCGUGAGUGACGGUAAUGGGUAAAGAAGCACCGGCUAACUACGUG